CAAUAGCGUAUAUUUAAGUUGUUGCAGUUAAAAAGCUCGUAGUUGGAUUUCUGCUGAUCGCUGUCGGUCUGCCGUCAGGUGUGUACUGGCAGUGUUUGGCAUCUAUUCGAGAUUGGGUGUCCACUUGAUUGUGUGCACUCGAUGUCGGAGCUAAUACUUUGAGAAAAUUAGAGUGUUCCACGCAGGCGCGUGCCUUGAAUACUGCAGCAUGGGAUAUUGGAAGGCCGAUUGAGCUUUCUUGUUGGUUCUCGGUUUGAUCGGAAUGAUUAAUAGGGAUAGUUGGGGGCAUUCGUAUUCGACUGUCAGAGGUGAAAUUCUUGGAUUUGUUGAAGACGGACUACUGCGAAAGCAUCUGCCAUGGAUGUUCUCAUUG
rnacentral:rRNA from 1 species